rnacentral:lncRNA from 1 species
CUUCAUUUCGAACCUUAUUUCCAUCCAAGAUCAUCUCUCCCAUUUCACACAAUAUAUUUUCAUUGAAAUACGUAACCCUCAUUACGUAUUUCUUCAAUAUCCUAUUUCUUUGAACCAUAUUUCUGUGAACUUUCUGCGUUCCCUCUUUUCUUUACAUUUCAUCUUUCUUCGAACCAUUAUUCAGGUAUUGAUGUUAUAAAUUUUUUGUAAUCAUUAAAAUGCAUGUUGAGCUUUUUUAAGAUAUACUGAUACAUGUUGAGGUUGUUUAUAAUAAUGCAUGAUCCAUGUUGAGCUUGUUGAUGUUAUACUAAACUGCAUGUUGAACUUGUUGUAGUUAAAUGGAUACAAACAAAGAUAUAGAAGUUCAAAAUGAAGAAGUUG